rnacentral:piRNA from 1 species
UGAGUGGGAGAGUAAACUGAAAAGAC